rnacentral:rRNA from 1 species
UUUUAUUUGAGAGUUUGAUCCUGGCUCAGGAUGAACGCUGGCGGCGUGCCUAACACAUGCAAGUUGAGCGAUUUACUUCGGUAAAGAGCGGCGGACGGGUGAGUAACGCGUGGGUAACCUACCCUGUACACACGGAUAACAUACCGAAAGGUAUGCUAAUACGGGAUAAUAUAUUUGAGAGGCAUCUCUUAAAUAUCAAAGGUGAGCCAGUACAGGAUGGACCCGCGUCUGAUUAGCUAGUUGGUAAGGUAACGGCUUACCAAGGCGACGAUCAGUAGCCGACCUGAGAGGGUGAUCGGCCACAUUGGAACUGAGACACGGUCCAAACUCCUACGGGAGGCAGCAGUGGGGAAUAUUGCACAAUGGGCGAAAGCCUGAU